rnacentral:rRNA from 1 species
UGGGGAAUUUUGGACAAUGGGCGAAAGCCUGAUCCAGCAAUGCCGCGUGUGUGAAGAAGGCCUUCGGGUUGUAAAGCACUUUUGUCCGGAAAGAAAUCCUUGGCUCUAAUACAGUCGGGGGAUGACGGUACCGGAAGAAUAAGCACCGGCUAACUACGUGCCAGCAGCCGCGGUAAUACGUAGGGUGCAAGCGUUAAUCGGAAUUACUGGGCGUAAAGCGUGCGCAGGCGGUUUGCUAAGACCGAUGUGAAAUCCCCGGGCUCAACCUGGGAACUGCAUUGGUGACUGGCAGGCUAGAGUAUGGCAGAGGGGGGUAGAAUUCCACGUGUAGCAGUGAAAUGCGUAGAGAUGUGGAGGAAUACCGAUGGCGAAGGUAGCCCCCUGGGCCAAUACUGACGCUCAUGCACGAAAGCGUGGGGAGCAAACAGGAUUAGAUACCCUGGUAGUCCACGCCCUAAACGAUGUCAACUAGUUGUUGGGGAUUCAUUUCCUUAGUAACGUAGCUAACGCGUGAAGUUGACCGCCUGGGGAGUAC